rnacentral:rRNA from 1 species
UACAGGGGGUGCAAACGUUGCUCGGAAUCAUUGGGCGUAAAGCGCACGUAGGCGGUUCGUUAUGUCGGAUGUGAAAGCCCUUGGCUUAACCGAGGAAGUGCAUCCGAAACUGGCGAGCUAGAGUACGAAAGAGGAUCGCGGAAUUCCCGGUGUAGAGGUGAAAUUCGUAGAUAUCGGGAGGAACACCGGCGGCGAAGGCGGCGAUCUGGGUCGAUACUGACGCUGAGGUGCGAAAGCGUGGGGAGCAAACAGG